CCGCUGAAUUUAAGCAUAUCAUUAAGUGCAGGAAAAGAAACCAAAUGGGAUUCCCUCAGUAACGGCGAGUGAAGUGGGAUGAGCUCAGCACCAAAGCCGGCGGUCGAGAGGCCGUCGUGCAAUGUGGUGUUCAGGAGGGCUCUGUCCGUGUCCGGUGUCGGUCCAAGUCUCCUGGAAAGGAGUUCCAUGGAGGGUGACAGGCCCGUGCGACCGAUUGCCGCGCUCGCGGACGAGUCCCCCUUCGAGUCGGGUUGUUCGCUAAUGCAGCCCUAAGCAGGUGGUAAGCUCCAUCUAAAGCUAAAUAUAACCACGAGUCCGAUAGUCA
rnacentral:rRNA from 1 species